UGCUUUUAACAGUUUGACCCAGACUCUGUCUACACAGCUCUAAAACCACCCAGCGAGCUUGUCCAGAGUCAAAGAAUCAACUAUCUGCCUCACUAGUAAUUCUGUCCUCAGGACUGUUUUAUGGGGAUCCCACUGAAAAUGAUGGCAGAUAUUUUGGGGCAAGAUGGAACUUUGGGGCUGCUCCACCACUUCUGCUUGGUGUAGUGGAAAGAGCACUGGACCCAGGCAGACGUAAGUUCAAAUCCCGGCAAUGACCACCCACCAGCUGUCCAACCACAGACGACGUGCUCCCAUUCUUCCAGUGUCCUUUUUUGUACCUGUAAGAUGGGGAAUCAUUUCUACUACCCGUAAGAUGAGAAGAAAACGAAGCUGGAGAGGUUAAGGGAAUUGCUCAGAGUAACAGCUAGUAAACGGCAGAACUGAGACUUCAUUUAUUUUACAAACAUUAUUGAACACCUACUAUAUGCCAGUGCCUCAGGCAUAGGAAAGUGGAUAAGUCCUAAUUCUAGUUCUCGAAAUGUUCACAGUAGAGUGCCAGAGCCUGAAACGCAAAUAAUCAAUUACAGUCUAGUGUGAUGUGAAAAGCAAGACGUAUUUAGGGAAUGUCCUAAAGCCCAGGGGUGGGCCCAGGUAUCGACACAGGAAGUGAGUCUUAAGGAGAGGACCCUUCAGAGGAAGCAGCCACGGAGUUCAAGCUGGAAUAUACAUCAGCAGGCGGACGCUGCAGCCAAGAGGGGAUUCGAGGGACAGGCCAUGAACAACAAGGAAAGACUGAAAAAGUGUCACAGACCAGCAGCUAUGGAGACUUGAUGAUCAAACGUUAUGUGGAUCGUGGACGGGAUUCUGGAACAGAAAAAGAAAGGGUAUUACUGAAAUCUAAAUAAAGUCUGGAGGUGCACAAUGAAGGAGCUGCCUUUCUUAAACAUCUCUUCCCCAGGCUAGUAUUCCAGGCUCUACGUGUGCAACGGUCACCCCUAAAAGGUGUGCCCACCUUCAUUCCUUUUUUUCCAUCCUUUCCCCAACCACCGCCAGCUCCUCGGGUCAGACAGCUCAACCGGAGGCUACAGAAUGUUCAGGAAGGGGCCAGCCUUGGCUUUGCAUUUUCAGGCUUCCUCACACGACAGCUCAAAUCAGACCCCCUACCCCAGCCCCCUUACCGGCAGGAGGGGAAAUAUGAAAUCUCAGCAGGCAAGGAGGUUUUUUAUGCUUCUGUAAAUCAUUAAAGUGGCCAAUAUUUCCCUUU